UAGGGAAUCUUCCGCAAUGGACGCAAGUCUGACGGAGCAACGCCGCGUGAGUGAAGAAGGAUUUCGGUUCGUAAAACUCUGUUGUUAGAGAAGAACAGCGCAUAGAGUAACUGUGAUGCGUGUGACGGUAUCUAACCAGAAAGGCACGGCUAACUACGUGCCAGCAGCCGCGGUAAUACGUAGGUGGCAAGCGUUGGCCGGAUUUAUUGGGCGUAAAGCGAGCGCAGGCGGUCAAUUAAGUCUGAUGUGAAAGCACCCGGCUCAACCGGGGAGGGUCAUUGGAAACUGGUUGACUUGAGUGCAGAAGAGGAGAGUGGAAUUCCAUGUGUAGCGGUGAAAUGCGUAGAUAUAUGGAGGAACACCAGUGGCGAAGGCGACUCUCUGGUCUGUAACUGACGCUGAGGUUCGAAAGCGUGGGUAGCAAACAGG
rnacentral:rRNA from 1 species